rnacentral:lncRNA from 1 species
GAGCAGGGGGCGCCAUGGAGCAGUAGAGACGGGGUUUCGCCAUAUUGGCCAGGCUGGUCUCCACCUCCGGUGAUCCGCCUGCUUCUGCCUCCCAAAGUGCUGGGAUUACAGGCCUGAGGCACCGCGCCUGGCCUGAAGAAUCUUUUCAAAUGCAACAGGGAGAGGGAUAGUUGUAUCAGAAUGUUUUCAACUAAAACCACCACCUGGAGUGCCAAACUGCAACGGGGACCUAGACAGAUUCAGAUUGUGCCACUGGAGCCCUGGAAUUGGAUUGCUGGAUAGACUCACUGUGUUAAUUUAUUUAAUCUUGGAUCAAGAUCCACAGCAUGGAAGAAGACUGAACCAUCACUUAGAGGAGAGCUGCUUACCCCUCACUGGGUUGUGGCAUGAACAAUAAAUACACUUUUAAGAUACUGAAAUAAAAAAAA